GGCUUCUUAGAGGGACUAUUGGUGCUUUAAGCCAAUGGAAGUUUGAGGCAAUAACAGGUCAGUGAUGCCCUUCGAUGUCUUGGGCCGCGCGCGCGCUACACUGACAGAGCCAACGAGUACAUCACCUUGGCCGGAAGGUCUG
rnacentral:rRNA from 1 species